rnacentral:rRNA from 1 species
AGUAACGGCGAGUGAACGGAGAUUAGCCCAGCACCGAAGCCUGUUCAUGUAUGUGGACAAGGCAAUGUGGUGUUUAGACAUGCAUCUUGGAUGGCUCGUCUGCUCGAAGUCCACUCCGAUUAUGGCUUUGGAUUUGUCCCAUAGAGGGUGAAAGGCCCGUUCGAGUAGGCAUUGCUCUUUUGAGCUGUCUUUAGAUAUGCGUGUUCUAGAGUCGGAUUGCUUGAGAAUGCAGUCCAAAGUGGGUGGUAAACUCCAUCCAAGGCUAAAUACUGGCACGAGUCCGAUAGUAGACAAGUACCGUGAGGGAAAGUUGAAAAGUACUCUGAAGAGAGAGUAAAUAGUACGUGAAGCCGACUGAAUCGAAGCUGGUGGAGUCAAGCUUCUAGCUUGCAGAAUUGACGCGGAGACCUUGCUGGUUAAGGAGUCUAGCUGGGCUAGCUUUUAAAUAGCUGGGUACCUUGGUACUUCAUGUUAUCUGGGCUGGUUGCAUUUGUCUCGCUGUGAACUCCGGUCUCUUGUGUUAUUUCUUCUUGCUUGUAUCACGGUCAAUGUUCUUGUGGUGUGAGUAUGUCUAACCGAGUUAUAGUGUGCAUUCUGCUUGCUUGACUCGGGAUGGCAGGUGAUGACCCUUGAGCUUUGCUUAAUGGUCAUGUAUACUGGUUUCGACCUGCUGAUGUACACACUGCUAAUACUAUCAAGUUCAUUGCUUCUAUAUCGGCAGUAUCCUUAUUAAGUUUCUGUCGUGAGAGCCGUGGUUUUGAAGUAGAUUUUCCACCGGACCCGUCUUGAAACACGGACCAAGGAGUUUAACUUGAUCGCGAGUCAUUGGAUUCUUAUGAAAUCCGAAGGCGCAAUGAAAGUGAACGGUUGCAUUUGUAGCCGAAGGUGUGAUCUUGGUUUACCUUGACUAAGGUGACCGAGCGUAACACCGGCCCGUCACUAAAUGUAGUCAUGCUUGCUACCAGCUUGUGUGCAUCAUUGAGGCGGCGCAAGAGCGAUCAAGUUGAGACCCGAAAGAUGGUGAACUAUGCUUGCGUAGGUUGAAGCCAGAGGAAACUCUGGUGGAUGACCGUCGCGGUUUUGACGUGCAAAUCGAUCGUCAAACGUGAGCAUAGGGGCGAAAGACUAAUCGAACCAUCUAGUAGCUGGUUCCCUCCGAAGUUUCCCUCAGGAUAGCUGGCACUCAUUUACAGUUUUAUCCGGUAAAGCGAAUGAUUAGAGGUAUUGGGGACUAUAUGACCUCAACCUAUUCUCAAACUAUUAAUGGGUACGAUGCAUGGCUCGCUUAAUUGGAGUUGUGCAUUGAAUGUGAGUGCUAAGUGGGCCAUUUUUGGUAAGCAGAACUGGCGCUGUGGGAUGCUCCGAACGUCAAGAUAAGGUGCCAAAUGUUGGCGCUCAUGAGACACCACAAAAGGUGUUAAUGCAUAUAGACAGCAGGACGGUGGCCAUGAAAGUUGGAAUCCG